GACGAACGCUGGCGGCGUGCCUAAUACAUGCAAGUCGAGCGGACUUUCAAGAAGCUUGCUUUUUGAAAGUUAGCGACGGACGUGUGAGUAACACGUGGGCAACCUGCCUGCAAUACGGGGAUAACUCCGGGAAACCGGGGCUAAUACCGGAUAAUAUCUUCCUUCGCAUGAAGGAAGGUUGAAAGGCGGCGCAAGCUGCCGCUUGCAGAUGGUCCCGCGGCGCAUUAGCUGGUUUGUGAGGUAACGGCUCACCAAGGCGACGAUGCGUAGCCGACCGGAGGGGGUGGGCGGCCAGACUGGGACGGAGACACGGCCCAGAGGGAUAGGGGAGGGAGCAGUAGGGAAUCGGGCGGAAGGGGCGGAAGUCUGAGGGAGCUACGCCGCGUGAGCGAAGAAGGUCGUCGGAUCGGAAAGCUCGGUUGUCAGGGAAGAACAAGUACCGUUCGAACAGGGCGGUAGCUUGACGGUACCUGGUCAGAAAGCAACGGCUAACUACGUG
rnacentral:rRNA from 1 species